rnacentral:rRNA from 1 species
UACGGAGGGUGCAAGCGUUAUCCGGAUUUACUGGGUUUAAAGGGUGCGUAGGUGGGCAGGUAAGUCAGUGGUGAAAUCUCCGGGCUUAACCCGGAAACUGCCAUUGAUACUAUCUGUCUUGAAUAUCCUGGAGGUAAGCGGAAUAUGUCAUGUAGCGGUGAAAUGCUUAGAUAUGACAUAGAACACCAAUUGCGAAGGCAGCUUACCACGGGAUCAUUGACACUGAGGCACGAAAGCGUGGGGAUCAAACAGG